CAGUCGCCACGGUAAUACAGAGGGUGCAAGCGUUAAUCGGAUUUACUGGGCGUAAAGGGCGCGUAGGUGGUUAUUUAAGUGAGAUGUGAAAUCCCCGGGCUUAACCUGGGAACUGCAUCUUAUACUGGGUAACUGGAGUGCAGUAGAGGGUAGUGGAAUUUCCGGUGUAGCGGUGAAAUGCGUAGAUAUCGGAAGGAACACCAGUGGCGAAGGCGGCUACCUGGACUGAGACUGACACUGAGGCGCGAGAGCGUGGGGAGCAAACAGGAUUAGAGACCCCCGUAGUCCCUGUCUCUUAUAC
rnacentral:rRNA from 1 species